rnacentral:misc_RNA from 1 species
GUACAACAUUUUGUAGCCAACGGUAAAAAUAAAUAAAUUACAUUCCAACAGUGAAUUAAUUAGUAUCUUGCCUACUCUUUUAUCCUUUCUUGUUGCAAUCUCUAUAAACUAUUCCUCAAGCUGGGUGAAAGCUAAAUAGUUGCUCCCAAACCCAGAACUUCCUUAAAGCCUUUGAGAUUGACUUUACGCAACUGUCAGUAAAGCAACGUACCCAAAUGUUGAGAGAAACAUUAGAAUGAAGUCUAAUAAUUGGAGGUCAAAUUGCAGUUGGUUAACGUGAUGGAGCUCCUCAUCCGACGGUACAUUGGCAGGGUUAGAGGGAAUCCCUCUGCUUUUCAGAUACUUCUAGCUGCGGAGGCAAGAGGUUCAGAAAACUCCCUUGAACAGAU